rnacentral:rRNA from 1 species
CGAGCGCAACCCUACUCAUCUGUUGUCCAGCAUUUAAGGUGGGACGUCAGAUGAGACUGCCGGUGGACAAACCGGAGGAAGGUGGGGACGGACGUCAAGUCAUCAUGGCCCUUAUGUCCUGGGCUACACACGUGCUACAAUGGCCGGUACAGAGUGAAGCGAAACCGCGAGGUGAAGCAAAACGCAGAAAGCCGGUCUCAGUACGGAUUGGAGUCUGAAACUCGACUUCAUGAAGUUGGAAUCGCUAGUAAUCGUGCAUCAGCAUGGCGCGGUGAAUACGUUCCCGGGCCUU